rnacentral:tmRNA from 1 species
GGGGGCGCCACGGUUUCGACUGAAGGUUGGAAACGCAGGCUGCAUGUGGAGGUUGAUCGGUUGGCCUCCUAAAAAGCCGAUCAAAAAACAUAACUGCAGACUCCAACGAGCUUGCACUCGCUGCUUAAUUGACAGCGACGUGGACUAUCGAACGCCUGCUACGGCAGUCCGCGACCACCAGCAGGCUGGUAAGAGGGCCGGGUGACCGGGUCACCUUGCGAGAUUAAACAGGUCUCUAGGGAACCAGAACUGGCGGACAGAGGUCUGGAUCCCGAACUACCAACUGGCCGCUAAACAUGUAGACGCUUGCGCGAAAAGUCUCCAGGACAGGGGUUCGACUCCCCUCGCCUCCAUUU